rnacentral:lncRNA from 1 species
UAAAAAUCUCCUACAAUUCUGUACGGCAAAUAGCUACAUGGAAGUAUAGCUACAUAGUAAUAUGAAUACAAUUUAAAGCAUAAUAAAUCAAGAAAAAUAAUAAUUCUUCUGUAAAACCCUGUAUUAAGUGUCAGUAUUGGAUCUCCAACCCAUUUAAAAAUCCUCCAAAAUCAAUGAAAGGACAGCUUCAAAUACACUGAAUUCAUACCAACACAAGAUAAGAAAAUAUUGCUAAACUUCAGCAUGACUCUGACCUGGAGUGUUUAAUACCUUCUUAAAAACUCAAACCUCAAUUUUGACACACAUUAAAUUACUAAAAAAAAAAAAAAAAAAAAAUAUCCAAUCCUAGUAAAUUAGUAAUGUCACAAUUUUUGUUGAGAGAGAUACAAAAUGUACAAGUAAGCAAUACCUUAACAAUUCAUAAAGAGAUAGGAAAUGAAUUCAAUAAAUCAACUAGAGAACCGAACUCAUCAAAAAAAGAAAGACUGUCCUCUCUGAUACAUGGUAUGUACGGGUGGUGUGGAACUUUACAAUAAACGGUUACUAAAGGUCUGAAAUAACUGUAAAAAUUCCCUUGGGGUAAUAGCAGGAUAAACAUCUGCAGUUGGGGCCAAGCAUCUGAAGGAAUCCCUCUAAAAACCAGAAAUGGCUUUUUUUUUUUUUUACCAGAUCACUGAAUAGUGAUAUGAAAAUCUCAACUAAAUGAAGAAGAAGCAACGCACAACAACAUGCACAGUAAAAAUCAUAAAGAGUCCAAUAUCAGAAUAAGUAACAAAUUAAACAACACAAAAAUUGAAAAUGACGAUAUUACAAAAAUCAACAAGGGACUACGAACAGUUACCAACAUGCCAGCUCCAGACCUCAAUUAAGCUGUUCGAAAAACUAUGUCUUGAAUAUACGAAAAUCUAGCACCAACCCUGUCAUGGGGUUUAAUAUCAUAUCACCAUAAAAUAUAUUAGAAAAACAUAACUCUUAUCAUACCUGCAACUGGUUUAAAAAUAAAGGAGUUUUAGUCGAAGCAUAGAUGUGCAAGUGAAUCAAUAUUGAAGCCAAAAUAAGCCAUAUAUAUGCAGGCAACAGUAUUUCUACUUUAUAUAAGUUUGCUUUAUGUUUUGUUAGUUUUUGAGGUAAAAGCUGACAUUUGUCCGUUGUAAAGUGUAUUACCAUAAAAGAUUGGAUGGUCAAUACCUGAAUGUGUAAGAUGACUAUGUAGGAGUGAAAUUAUUAUAAUGUAAACGCCCAUAAAUACGAAGCAAGAAUAACUGGAUCAACUCAGGCAAACGCAAAUUAAAAGAAUGACUAUGAGAACCCUAUACUAGAGUCUACUCUAAAUCCAUGUAUGCAGAAACAAACAUUUAGUAUAACAGCAGCAACCACUCUCUCUCUCAUCUUGGGUUUGAACCAGGUUGCCCAAAUGAAACCUUAUUUCCAUUAAAGGACAAGGUGAUUUGAACUUGGAUAUCACAAGAAAGCCUAUAUUAAUCAAAGUAAACCUGGUUAAAGUUACCUGUUAGGACAUCCAAAAGUUAUAAAAAAUGACCUGUGUUACACAAAAAAACAAAGCACAAACAAGUGCUUAACAACAUCUAGAUACCCUCAUAAUUAAAAGCAUAACAUUUCAAAUAGUCCCAGCAUUCAUGCUAACUGUUACUGAAAUUCAACCGGUACUAUAAUUCAUAAUAAAUAACAACCAUAAUUUGGAAUCAACUGUUGCCAAGCAACCAGUAGGGCCAAUGAUUUAUGCAAAUGAAAAGUUCCUCGUAAUGCACCAGCCUAAAAUAACAAACGGCACCUAAACAUACAGUGUACGAUACUCAUAAAUUGGGCAACUUCUAGAAUUCCCAGGAUGAAGAUUACAAUACAUUCUAGACUAGUAUAUAUAUAUAAAUUAAAGCUGUUUUCGACACCUAAAUACUAAAGAUUUUUAACGGUGGAGCAGACUGCAAGAC